UAGGGAAUCUUCGGCAAUGGACGAAAGUCUGACCGAGCAACGCCGCGUGAGUGAAGAAGGUUUUCGGAUCGUAAAACUCUGUUGUUAGAGAAGAACAAGGACGUUAGUAACUGAACGUCCCCUGACGGUAUCUAACCAGAAAGCCACGGCUAACUACGUGCCAGCAGCCGCGGUAAGACGUAGGUGGCAAGCGUUGUCCGGAUUUAUUGGGCGUAAAGCGAGCGCAGGCGGUUUCUUAAGUCUGAUGUGAAAGCCCCCGACUCAACCGGGGAGGGUCAUUGGAAACUGGGAGACUUGAGUGCAGAAGAGGAGAGUGGAAUUCCAUGUGUAGCGGUGAAAUGCGUAGAUAUAUGGAGGAACACCAGUGGCGAAGGCGGCUCUCUGGUCUGUAACUGACGCUGAGGCUCGAAAGCGUGGGGAGCAAACAGG
rnacentral:rRNA from 1 species